rnacentral:rRNA from 1 species
AGAGUUUGAUCAUGGCUCAGAGUGAACGCUGGCGGCAGGCCUAAUACAUGCAAGUCGAACGGCAGCACAGCAGAGCUUGCUCUGUGGGUGGCGAGUGGCGGACGGGUGAGGAAUACGUGGGAAUCUGCCCAGUCGUGGGGGAUAACGUAGGGAAACUUACGCUAAUACCGCAUGCGCCCUUCGGGGGAAAGCCGGGGACCUUCGGGCCUGGCGCGAUUGGAUGAGCCCACGUCGGAUUAGCUAGUUGGCGGGGUAAAGGCCCACCAAGGCGACGAUCCGUAGCUGGUCUGAGAGGAUGAUCAGCCACACUGGAACUGAGACACGGUCCAGACUCCUACGGGAGGCAGCAGUAGGGAAUAUUGGACAAUGGGCGCAAGCCUGAUCCAGCCAUGCCGCGUGAGUGAAGAAGGCCCUCGGGUUGUAAAGCUCUUUUGUCCGGAAGGAAAAGCGCCGGGUUAAUACCCUGGUGUCCUGACGGUACCGGAAGAAUAAGCACCGGCUAACUUCGUG